GUCUAUGGUCAUGCCACCCUGAACAUGCCUGAUCUUGUAUGAUCUCAGAAGCUAAGCAGAGUUGGUCAGGCCUGCUUAGUACUUGGAUGGGAGACCACCUAGGAAGACCAGGUGCUGUAGGCA
rnacentral:rRNA from 1 species